UAUAUUUUGGGAGGUACAUAAUGAAACGUCUUAAACAUUAUCGUUUAGCAUGGCCCCUGCGCAAGGAUGACACGCAAAUUCGUGAAGCGUUCCAUAUUAUU
rnacentral:snRNA from 1 species